UACGUAGGGGCCAAGCGUUGUCCGGAUUUAUUGGGCGUAAAGAGCUCGUAGGCGGUUCGGCAAGUCAGCUGUGAAAUCUCCACGCUCAACGUGGAGGGGUCAGCUGAUACUGCUGUGACUUGAGUCCGGUAGGGGAGUGUGGAAUUCCCGGUGUAGCGGUGAAAUGCGCAGAUAUCGGGAGGAACACCAGUAGCGAAGGCGACUACCUGGCCUGUUCUUGACGCUGAGGCGCGAAAGCUAGGGGAGCAAACGGG
rnacentral:rRNA from 1 species